rnacentral:rRNA from 1 species
AUUGAACGCUGGCGGCCGGCCUAACACAUGCAAGUCGAGCGGAGCGGCGGACGGGUGAGUAAUGCCUAGGAAUCGGCCUGGUAGUGGGGGAUAACGUCCGGCAACGGGCGCUAAUACCGCAUACUAUCAGAUGAUCCUAGGUCGGAUUGGCUAGUUGGUGGGGUAAAGGCCUACCAAGGCGACGAUCCGUAACUGGUCUGAGAGGAUGAUCAGUCACACGGGAACUGAGACACGGUCCAGACUCCUACGUGAGGCAGCAGUGGGGAAUAUUGGACAAUGGGCGCAAGCCUGAUCCAGCCAUGCCGCGUGUGUGAAGAAGGCCUUCGGGUUGUAAAGCACUUGCAGCGGGGAGGCGUUACCCGCAGAAGAAGCAGCGGCAAACUCCGUGCCAGCAGCCGCGGUAAUAC